rnacentral:rRNA from 1 species
UACGUAGGGUGCGAGCGUUGUCCGGAAUUAUUGGGCGUAAAGAGCUUGUAGGUGGUUUGUCGCGUCUGCUGUGAAAAUCCGGGGCUCAACCCCGGACUUGCAGUGGGUACGGGCAGACUAGAGUGUGGUAGGGGAGACUGGAAUUCCUGGUGUAGCGGUGGAAUGCGCAGAUAUCAGGAGGAACACCGGUGGCGAAGGCGGGUCUCUGGGCCGAUACUGACGCUGAGGAGCGAAAGCGUGGGGAGCGAACAGG